rnacentral:rRNA from 1 species
ACAUGCCUACAACAUAACGUUAAUGCACAGGAUCCCAUUAGAACUCCGAAGUAAAGCAUGCUUGGGCUAGAGUAGUACUGGGAUGGGUGACCGCCCGGGAAGUCCUAGUGUUUUACAUGCC